rnacentral:rRNA from 1 species
UACAGAGGGUGCGAGCGUUGUUCGGAAUUAUUGGGCGUAAAGCGCGUGUAGGCGGCCAACUAAGUCGGGUGUGAAAGCCCUCAGCUCAACUGAGGAAGUGCGCCCGAGACUGGAUGGCUUGAGUGCUGGAGAGGGUGGCGGAAUUCCCCAAGUAGAGGUGAAAUUCGUAGAGAUGGGGAGGAACACCGGAGGCGAAGGCGGCCACCUGGACAGUAACUGACACUGAGGAACGAAAGCCAGGGGAGCAAACGGG